AGAACCACAUAGUUGCCUUUUUAAUUGUGUGUAUAUGCAGGUUGCAGACAUCAAAUUAUUGAUCCACUUGGGUUAAUGGCUUAAUGCUAUUCAAAUAACCAUACCUUAGUUACAAUGACAAGAGGGCAAAAGCAGCAGCAGCAAGGUGCCUCAUCUAAUGUGGCAUAGCAAACUCUCUUUUUUUAGUUGUGAUCAACAACAAGGCAGUGUAGUUUAUUAAGCAUAUAUAACCAUUCAGGGAUCUGCCGAUUUUGGUGAGUCGACUUUUCUUGUUUGAAAUUGUGAAAGAAGUAUCACAUGUUAGACAUUACUAGGACAGGGAUCACAUAUUAGACCACAUCGCUCCUUGUUGAUUAUUCAUGUUCAUUUUUUUGUUUAUGAUGGAUUUUCUUUGAAUCUGUAAGCAAGGUUUUAAUAGCCAUGCAUGGCACCAUGCAACUUAGUUAUAUUGUGGUACUACUACAGAACUGCCUUUUUCUCUACAAACUCCUUGGUCUUGGUAGAAUUUUUCUCAUGUUACAUUAAUAAUUCACUUGGAGUGCUUUCAUUGGAAAUUCUUUUGUUGUAUCUGAUGUUCCCUACACCCCUUUUGUCAUGUGCAACGAGGAGAACUUAUAGCUUAGAUUCUGCAGACCUGGCGUCAAUAAAGGUGGUGCUUGCAGGCUCACACAAAUUCGAUGAUGGUGCCAGCCUAUAUUUUUUUGGUGCUAGAGAGUGAGGCUUGAAGACUUGCUUUGUCUCAAUGUUUAUAGUGAAAAGGACACGGCUAACGUGCGGCCGGCCCGUAAGGCCGCCCCAAUUAGGAAAGACAAAUAGAAUAAGCAAAUUCUACUUUUCAUA